CGUGCCUAACACAUGCAAGUCGAACGAGAAACUCCGGGCUUGCCGGAGAGUACAGUGGCGCACGGGUGAGUAACGCGUGGGUAACCUACCCUUGAAUUUGGGAUAACCCCGCGAAAGCGGGACUAAUACCGGAUAUGGUUCCAUCAGCUUCGGCUCUUGGAAUUAAAGGUGACCUCUUCAUGAAAGUUGCCGUUCAGGGACGGGCUCGCGUACCAUUAGCUUGUUGGUAGGGUAAUGGCCUACCAAGGCUACGAUGGUUAGCUGGUCUGAGAGGAUGAUCAGUCACACUGGAACUGGAACACGGUCCAGACUCCUACGGGAGGCAGCAGUGAGGAAUUUUGCGCAAUGGGGGAAACCCUGACGCAGCAACGCCGCGUGAGCGAAGAAGGCCUUCGGGUCGUAAAGCUCUGUCAAGUGGGAAAAAAGCCUUUCGGUCAAUAUCCGGAAGGUCUGAUGGUACCACUGGAGGAAGCACCGGCUAACUCCGUGCCAGCAGCCGCGGUAAUACGGAGGGUGCAAGCGUUGUUCGGAAUUACUGGGCGUAAAGCGCGUGCAGGCGGUUUGGUAAGUCAGAUGUGAAAGCCCUGGGCUCAACCCGGGAAGUGCAUUUGAAACUGCCUUUCUUGAGUAUGGGAGAGGAGAGUGGAAUUCCCAGUGUAGAGGUGAAAUUCGUAGAUAUUGGGAGGAACACCCGUGGCGAAGGCGACUCUCUGGACCAAUACUGACGCUGAGACGCGAAAGCGUGGGGAGCAAACAGGAUUAGAUACCCUGGUAGUCCACGCCGUAAACGAUGAGAACUAGGUGUAGCGGGUAUUGACCCCUGCUGUGCCGAAGUUAACGCAUUAAGUUCUCCGCCUGGGGAGUACGGCCGCAAGGCUAAAACUCAAAGGAAUUGACGGGGGCCCGCACAAGCGGUGGAGCAUGUGGUUUAAUUCGACGCAACGCGAAGAACCUUACCUGGGUUUGACAUCCUCUGACUGCCUCGGAAACGGGGUUUUUCCGACUCUGUCGGAACAGAGUGACAGGUGCUGCAUGGCCUGUCGUCAGCUUCGUGUC
rnacentral:rRNA from 1 species